rnacentral:rRNA from 1 species
AUUGAACGCUGGCGGCAGGCCUAACACAUGCAAGUCGAACGGUAACAGGAAGAAGCUUGCUUCUUUGCUGACGAGUGGCGGACGGGUGAGUAAUGUCUGGGAAACUGCCUGAUGGCGGGGGAUAACUACUGGAAACGGUAGCUAAUACCGCAUAACGUCGCAAUACCAAAGAGGGGGACCUUCGGGCCUCUUGCCAUCGGAUGUGCCCAGAUGGGAUUAGCUAGUAGGUGGGGUAACGGCUCACCUAGGCGACGAUCCCUAGCUGGUCUGAGAGAAUGACCAGCCACACUGGAACUGAGACACGGUCCAGACUCCUACGGGAGGCAGCAGUGGGGAAUAUUGCACAAUGGGCGCAAGCCUGAUGCAGCCAUGCCGCGUGUAUGAAGAAGGCCUUCGGGUUGUAAAGUACUUUCAGCGGGGAGGAAGGGAGUAAAGUUAAUACCUUUGCUCAUUGACGUUACCCGCAGAAGAAGCACCGGCUAACUCCGUG